GGUCCUAAGGUAGCGAAAUUCCUUGUCGGGUAAGUUCCGACCCGCACGAAAGGCGUAACGAUUUGGGCACUGUCUCAACGAGAGACUCGGUGAAAUCAUAGUACCUGUGAAGAUGCAGGUUACCCGCGACAGGACGGAAAGACCCCGUGGAGCUUUACUGUAGCCUGAUAUUGAAAUUCGGCACAGCUUGUACAGGAUAGGUAGGAGCCUUUGAAACGUGAGCGCUAGCUUACGUGGAGGCGCUGGUGGGAUACUACCCUAGCUGUGUUGGCUUUCUAACCCGCACCACUUAUCGUGGUGGGAGACAGUGUCAGGCGGGCAGUUUGACUGGGGCGGUCGCCUCCUAAAAGGUAACGGAGGCGCUCAAAGGUUCCCUCAGAAUGGUUGGAAAUCAUUCAUAGAGUGUAAAGGC
rnacentral:rRNA from 1 species